rnacentral:lncRNA from 1 species
CAAGCAUAAAGCAGCAGCAGCCUUGUAGAAAGAAAUGAAAUGAUGAUACUCUCAUCUACACUGCAGGCAGUGGAGUGGCUAUAGUUGUCUUUACAUUGUGGAAGUAGACAUGAUUUCAGCCUCUUUGUAUCUUAUGGCCUAGGCUUUACAUCUGCUCUAGGUAAUCCCAGUUUUGGAAAAUAGCAAUUUUGGAUGAAGACACAGGUGUAGACCAUUGGAGUGUGUCUACAGGAGGUCCUGGAAACCAUGACAUGUGAGAGUCAAUUGAAAGACAGUUCUGUGAAGGCGCGCGGGGAGAGGUCCGUCGGAGCUGUUGGAGGAACAGUCUUCUUGCGGGGAGAAGUACAAUUAAAUCUUCGCAAUCAUCUAACCUUGCUUGACACAAAAUUUUACUUAUCAAGUUGGAAAACA